rnacentral:rRNA from 1 species
CCCGCACAAGCGGUGGAGCAUGUGGUUUAAUUCGACGCAACGCGAAGAACUUACCAGGUCUUGACAUCCCUUGACAGCCUAAGAGAUUAGGUGUUCUAGCUUCGGCUAGACAAGGAGACAGGUGGUGCAUGGUUGUCGUCAGCUCGUGUCGUGAGAUGUUGGGUUAAAGUCCCCGCAACGAGCGCAACCCCUACGUUUAGUUGCUAACGUGUAACGAUGAGCACUCUAGGCGGACUGCCGUUGACAAAACGGAGGAAGGUGGGAUGACGUCAAAUCAUCAUGCCCCUUAUGUUCUGGGCUACACACGUGCUACAAUGGCCGGUACAAAGGGACGCAAAGCCGCGAGGUGGAGCAAAUCCGAUAAAAGCCGGUCUCAGUUCGGAUUGCAGGCUGCAAUUCGCCUGCCAUGAAGUCGGAAUCGCUAGUAAUCGCAGGUCAGCAUACUGCGGUGAAUACGUUCCCGGGCCUU